GGGGGGGUCGCACCCGGGAUGGGGCUCCAGGGGUAGGAGGGGGCGGGGUUCCCGAGAGGGGCGGGGCUUAGGGGGCGGGACUUCCGGGCCAGCUCCGGAGCCACGCGGAGUGGCACGAGGCAGCUCCACUCAGCAGAGCCGUGCCCAGACUGCGGGGGGGGGGAAAGGAGGGCGUGACCCGGAAGCAUAUUCUCCUGCGCGCCGGAAGUGACCGUGUGGGAGCCGCGGGAGCCCCUCGCCUCACGCAUGCGCCGUGCUAGGGAGGCUCGUGUCGCCAACCCCAGCAAAAUGUUCCUGCUGUCAUAAAAAAGCCAGAACGCUCUGCCACAGGCCCACAGCCAAGGCGAUUGUGCAAUAAACCCCAUCAAAGUCCUGGGGAGUUCUAACACGGCAAUCAGGGGACAUUGUGAAAGUUUGUCACGGCUGGAAUCUGGUGUCUUGUUUGCAGAAGGCGUGGACUGUGUUGAGACCUGGUGCACUUAUGCAGGCAUGUUCUAGUGAGCUUGGCGUGAGCAAGGAGCUGUUUGCCCUACCUCCUGGGCGGGUGGUGGAGAUCAGACAGUUAAUAAGUGCUUUUGACGAUCCGGGCUAGUUAAUAAUAAAUUCCUCGGCUCAUUUGGACAGAAACAGGCCCAUGGGGUUUACAGACUCGGGCAGCCCCUCUGGAUUUGCAAGGUUAGGAAGGCACCAUGCCUAAGGGGAUGGUGUCUUGUCCAGAAUGCUCUUUACUCCUCUGAGAUGAUUGUGGGGCUUGAACGUCCCCCAGUGGACAUUGGGAUGAGGCAGGAUGGUGCAGUGGUUAGGACCCCUGUCUCUGGCCUGACAGCCCUGCUAACUCCUGGGGGAUCCCGGUGUAGUAGAAAGAGAGCCUGAGACAUGAGGCCUGGUGUAAGAGACCUGGUAUGAGGCCCAAGGUUGAACUAAAGUAGUGGUCAAGCCCUGCUGCUAUGAAGCAAAGGUAGUAAGAGUCAAGCUGGGAGCAGAAGUCAGGCCCUGUUAUAAAACAUGCCUGCUUACAAGUUCACAGAACCUGGCAAGAACAUGGCUGGUAUUGCAAAAACACAAACAUUCCUGAGAAGUGAUAGGCACAGACCACUUGUGAUGCUCUGUACCUCGGGGGAACACCCAGCACCCCUACGUUCAUUUUUAUAAUAUGAUUAUGUGAUAUCCAAUGCAAAAUUGUCAUGUCGGGUGUCUUCAGAAGGCUUGUGAUGCACUGUGCAUUGUUAUAGUGAUGUUAUAGGUUGUAAUUUAAUGUAUAUAGUUAUGAGACUGAAAAUGUGUCCUCAUGGCUUAAAACAAGCCCCGGCAAAACUCUCCAGGAGCAGAGGGGCAGUGCACACCUCAUCAGGACAUGUGUGGGACAAACCCAGCCAGCCUCACAGGAACAAAGGACACUGGCCUAGGCAGCAACAAAGAAUCUGUUGGACUCUCGAGUGAGUCACCCCCCUUCCCUUGGUGAGUUUGGGACUACAAUGAGGUAAUGCUCACCUGACUGUGAAUGGGAGGAGGGGCAAAGCCAGAAGGGAAGAAAGAACAUGAUAAAAGGGAGAGACGUUUGCCAUGCUCUUCCUCUCUCUUCCACCUCCAUCUACAGACACCACCACCAAGCGACUGAAGCGCUGACCAAAGGGGAGAGCCUGGCUGAAGAGCAACCAGCCAGCCUGGGGUGAGAAGCAUCUAAGUGUGUAAGGGCAUUGAAAGUGUUAAGAUCAGCUUAAAAUGUGUUUUGCUUUUAUUUCAUUUGACCAAAUCUGACUUGUUGUGCUUUGACUUAUAAUGACUUACAAUCUAUCUUUUUAGUUAAUAAAUUUGUUUAUUCUA